rnacentral:rRNA from 1 species
UACGUAGGGUGCGAGCGUUAAUCGGAAUUACUGGGCGUAAAGCGUGCGCAGGCGGUUUUGUAAGUCAGACGUGAAAUCCCCCGGCUUAACCUGGGAACUGCGUCUGAUACUGGGAGGCUUGAGUAUGGGAGAGGGAUGUAGAAUUCCAGGUGUAGCGGUGAAAUGCGUAGAUAUCAGGAGGAACACCGGUGGCGAAGGCGGGUCUCUGGGCCGUAACUGACGCUGAGGAGCGAAAGCAUGGGGAGCGAACAGG